CAGGUGCGUGGGCUGGGUUGGUUUCUGGUGCCCUUGAACCUGCUGGUUUCCUGGAGUCAACUGCAGCCAUGGUCUUUAGAGGAGUGCUCCCAUGUAUCCUGCAGUACACUGUGGGGAGCACUCAAAAUGCCAAUGGCUUCUCUACCUGCUUGUGUCUAGUGAAACUAGUGGCCAAUAUUUUACGGAUACUCUUCUGGUUCAGAAGUCAUUUUGACUCACCUCUCCUGUGGCAGAGCAUAAUCAUGAUCUUGACCAUGUUGCUAAUGUUGAAACUCUGCACUGAAGUCUGUGUGGCAAAUAAGCUGAACAAAACUCGCUUCUUUGCAGACUUCUGGCCCCACCACUUACAGCACUGGAGCCAGAAGUUUAGGGGACUAUAGGCAGUGCAUCUUGGCCUUCAUAGCAUGGCAGAGUACGUCAGGUACCUGU
rnacentral:lncRNA from 1 species